GACGAACCGUGCGAACGUUGUUCGGAUUCACUGGGCUUAAAGGGCGCGUAGGCGGGUGAUCAAGUCCGGGGUGAAAUCCUCCAGCUUAACUGGAGAACAGCCUUGGAUACUGGUCAUCUGGAGGAAGGUAGGGGCAUGUGGAACUAAUGGUGGAGCGGUGAAAUGCGUAGAUAUCAUUAGGAACGCCGGUGGCGAAAGCGACGUGCUGGACCUUUUCUGACGCUGAUGCGCGAAAGCCAGGGGAGCAAACGGGG
rnacentral:rRNA from 1 species